rnacentral:rRNA from 1 species
AAGGAUCCCCUAGUAACGGCGAGUGAAGCGGGAAGAGCUCAAAUUUGAAAGCUGGCGCCUUCGGCGUCCGCGUUGUAAUCUCGAGAAGUGUUUUCCGUGCUGGACCAUGUACAAGUUCCUUGGAAUAGGACGUCAUAGAGGGUGAAAAUCCCGUACUUGAUGUGGCCGCCCAGUGCUUUGUGAUACACUUUCCAUGAGUCGAGUUGUUUGGGAAUGCAGCUCAAAAUGGGUGGUAAAUUCCAUCUAAAGCUAAAUAUUGGGGAGAGACCGAUAGCGAACAAGUACCGUGAGGGAAAGAUGAAAAGCACUUUGGAAAGAGAGUUAAAUAGUACGUGAAAUUGUCGAAAGGGAAGCGCUUGAAGUUAGACAUGCUAGUUGGAAUUCAGCCUUGCUUUUGCUUGGUGCAUUUUCCGGUUAGCAGGCCAGCAUCAGUUUUGCCUGUCGGAUAAGGGUAGGAGGAAUGUGGCCCCUCGGGGUGUUAUAGCCUCUUACUGGAUACGACGGGUGGGACUGAGGACAGCAGUGCGCCUUUAUGGCGGGCCUUCGGGCACCUUCGCACUUAGGAUGCC